rnacentral:rRNA from 1 species
UUUUAUUUUGUUACCCCUCUCGCGGGGGGGGGGACUGCGGAAGGAUCAUUAACGCAAAUAUCCAAAACCCGGGAGAGUAAGAGUUGGGUUCAAACUCUUGAGGUUCGCAAGGAUCUCGGGUUCCAGCUCUUAUUCCCUCGACACCACAAGCGAAUUGUUGAAGUCCUUAACAAUUUACUUUCUUUGAAACGCCAUUAAAAAGCGAAUCAUCAAAGUAACCUAUUUUAAGGUCUAAUCAUUUUUUUCGAUUGAAGAAUUCCUCCUCGUGAGGGAUUCUGAAAGAGAAGAAAAACAACAAAUAAUCAAUAUACGAUAACUCUUAACGAUGGACACCUUGGCUCCCGCAUCGAGGAAGAGCGCAGCAAACUGCGAUAAGUCGUGUGAAUUGCAGGGUUCAGCGAAUCACGAAAUCCUCGAACGCACCUUGCGCUCCCGGGAUCUCUCCCGGGAGCACGCCUGUUUGAGCGUCGUUUAACAGCAAUCAUCAAACACAAAGCAAUUUGUGGAUUGGUGGAGGUUGGAGUGUUCGUUUCUGGUCUUCUCUGAAGCUCAGUCGAUCCUCUUAAAUCAAGCAGAGGUUGCAUCCUUCGCUCUUGGCGAUCGAUCAGUAUCUCACUUUAGUGCUUACACAUUGGAAGAUUCUCCUUAGCGAGGUUCAUUAAUUUGUGUUGAGCCGAGUUACUGGCAAUGCCAUCGAUGGAUGUUUCACUGGACCUCUGGGCAGUUAAACAUAAGCAAGAGAGAGUUUAUCUCUCUCUUAAACUUCGACCUCAAAUCAAGCGAGAUUUCCCGAUUU